rnacentral:rRNA from 1 species
GAUGAACGCUAGCGGCAGGCUUAAUACAUGCAAGUCGUGGGGCAGCAUGAGUGUAGCAAUACAUUUGAUGGCGACCGGCAAACGGGUGCGGAACACGUACAGAACCCUCCUUCAAGCGGGGCAUAGCCCAGAGAAAUUUGGAUUAAUACCCCAUAAUAUAAUGAAGAGGCAUCUCUUUGUUAUUAAAGAUUUAUCACUUGAAGAUGGCUGUGCGGCUGAUUAGGUAGUUGGCGGGGUAACGGCCCACCAAGCCUGCGAUCAGUAACUGGUGUGAGAGAACGACCAGUCACACGGGCACUGAGACACGGGCCCGACUCCUACGGGAGGCAGCAGUAAGGAAUAUUGGUCAAUGGACGCAAGUCUGAACCAGCCAUGCCGCGUGGAGGAUGAAGGUCCUCUGGAUUGUAAACUUCUUUUAUAUGGGACGAAAAAAGGCUUUUCUAAGUCGUCUGACGGUACCAUGUGAAUAAGCACCGGCUAACUCCGUGCCAGCCGCCGCCGUAACAC